rnacentral:rRNA from 1 species
UACGUAGGGUGCGAGCGUUGUCCGGAAUUACUGGGCGUAAAGAGCGCGUAGGCGGUCUGUUAAGUGAGAAGUGAAAUCUCCAGGGCUCAACCCGGAAACUGCUUUUCAUACUGGCAGACUUGAGGGAUGCAGAGGUGAAUGGAAUUCCUGGUGUAGCGGUGGAAUGCGUAGAGAUCGGGAAGAACAUCAGUGGCGAAGGCGGCCUGCUGGGCUGUUGCUGACGCUGAGGCGCGACAGCGUGGGGAGCAAACAGG